UCAUUUCAUUUUCUUUGAGAAGUUUACCUGCAUUAAACGAGAACCAUCGUUCAUUUCAGUAAUCUUCCCAGUUACAAUUAUUCAGCUUUAGCAAUCAGUUCAACAAUCAAACAAAGCAACUUCAAGGUGAGUUUAUUCUUAAAUCUACCACUACUGCCAAAGUCUCCUUCAUUAGUUAAGCAAUGGCAGUUUCAAUUCAUUUCAGUUAUUGUACAAUACGUUCAACCUCCAACAACAAGCAAUCAGUUCAAACAUUGGAGGUAAUUCACAAUCCCAAAUAAUCUUUCAGUUCGCAUUCAUAUCAGAGGCAUAAUCAUAUUUCACAUGACAUGAAUAACAAUAGAAAAACUCAUGCUUUUCACCUUACUGCACUCUAGAGCAACAAGCUUGAGAAUCUCCCUCCUUAACAACUAGACUAGAGAAGAAUAGAAGAGUGGAACUUAGCUUUUAGUAGGGAGGGCCGGCUGCCCAAGGGGCAGCGAACCACCUACUGCUGAACGGGAAAAGAGACGGGCGGCGAACUCUCGUCGUCUUGCCUGCAUCGGAAGGACAGCAGCGGCGCGGUGAGAGGCGUAGGCCAUCUUACUCUAGUCGCCGGAAACUCAGGAACAACAAGGCAGCCGACGCCUGUUGGAGCAUAGAAGGCGACUGAAGCUCGACUGAUGUUGAGAGAUGCCGACUGAUUCUACGGAUUCCGAACGAACGAGCAGCAGCAACUCCAGUCGGCGAUGGCUCCCAGACGACAGCAGCCGUCGGAUUUCAGACGGGGAGAGAGAGACGGCCACGAUCGGCGCCGACCGCUCGCCGGAUUCUAUACGGAGGUGUGGCAGCUGCGAUUUACCAGGAGAAGUUAGGACUUGAUUUUGAACUCUGCGUGCAGAUUUACCAGGAGAAGUUAGGGCUUGAUUUUGAACUCUACGUGCAGAUUGAGGAAGAGAGAUGACGUCGCCGGUCGAAGGUGACCGGAGCAGUGAUGGUUGGACGGCCGGAGAAGAUGGACCGACUGGAUUUUGAGGAGCGCCGUGCAUCUUCUUUGAGAGAGAGAAAGGACCGAGUAUGUUGAGAGAUGACUCGAAGUGAGAGGAGUCAGGCGGUCUCGCCGGAGCCUCGACGGCCGACACCUCGGCUGGAGGCGAAUCGAAAGAGAGAGAGAACCGAAGGGAGCGGCUCCAACAGAGAGAAAGAAAGAGAACAGAGAUGGGGAGGAAACGUGAGGUAGAAAGAGAAGGGCUCAGCCGAAUUUGGAAGGAAAAGGGGGAAGAGAAUUGGGUGUUGGGCCAUUACAUUGGGCUCGAUUUUUUUUAUAUUUGGGCUCGAUUUUUUUUAAUAUUUGGGCUUUCCAUUUAUUUAGAUUGGGCUAUCAGUUGGGCCGAUAUAUUUUAAUUGUUUGGGCUUUUCCCUUUUAAUUUUCGGGCUUGAAUUUUAAUGGCUUGGGCUUCACAUCUAAAUUCGAAUUGGGCAUUUAUCUAUAUUAUUUGGGCCGAAUUAUUUGAGCUUGGGUUUGUUUUAUUCUAAAGGAAUUGAGCUUCCAAUUUAAUUGAUUGGGCUUUCAUUAAAUUCGAACUGGGCCAGUCUUUAAUUUUAAUUGGCCCUUUUCAUUAAUUCUAUUGGGCUUGAUUUAUUUAAGGAGUUGGGCUGAUGCAUAUUUUAUGAUGGGCUAUUAUUCCAAACCCAAUUAUAUUUCGACCCCCAGUUUAAUUAUUUUGGGAUCAAAGACUUUUUAAGAUGGGCUUUAAUUCUUUUAAAGCUUGAGCUGAAGUUACUCCUUUGAGCUAAGCCUAGCAGUAUCAAUUUUUGAUGGAGCCCAAUUAUUUAUCAGUAAUGAGCCGCCCAGUUUAUUAAUUAAUGUUUUUGGACUUCCGACUUUAAAGCAAGCCAUUAUGUUAUUUCAUUUAAGCCACUGGUUUAUUAAUUAAUUGGCUACUCUCUUUUGAGCCUAUUAAUAUUUGAGGUUACGCUAGUAAUGAUGCUUCUAUCGAAAAGCCCGAUAAUUCCUACAAGGUCACACCUCGUUUAAAGCCGAGUUAGUCCUUUUUCAAUCAAGUACAAAUGCGAGGUUUAUUUCACGACUAGAAUAUUCCGAUGAGGAAGGAGAAUCACAGUUUUAUUCGACCGCGCUAGACGGAAUUAGCUAAAUCUAUUAACGAGGAUUAAUAGUAGAAUUCCCGAUUAUCGCUCAGAAUAUUAGUUCAUGCAUACAAGAUUCAUGCAUAGUUAAAUUACGCUUUCUCAUUAAUUAAGAAUUUUCCUCGAGACAAUGUCUUAUUUUAUAUUCUCGUGAUUAAGGUCAAGCGCGAGAGUAAGAACUACACAAGGAGUUAGAGUACCUUAGCAAAACUUUGCUAUCAGGU
rnacentral:lncRNA from 1 species